rnacentral:lncRNA from 1 species
GCCAAUCUUUAAAUGUUUGGUAGAAGCUGGCAGUGAAGCCGUCAGGUCCUGUGUUUUUCUUUGAGGAGAUUUAUUUUUUUAAAUAUUUAUUUUUAUUUUAUGUGUAUCCCUGAGUGCAUGUCUAUGUAUCCCGUUUGUGCAGAGGUCAAUGGAGGCCAGAAAAGGGCCUUGAACCCCUAGAGCUGGAGUUAAAGGUGGCUGUGAGCAGCCCUGUGGGUGCUGGGAACUGAAUUUGGGUCCUCUGCAAUAGCAGCAAUGCCCUCCGUAACCACUGUGCCAUCACACCAGCUCCCAAUAGAGCUUUUUAUUAUGGAUUUGAUCUACUUGAUCUCCCUUCUUACUAUGGGUGUGUCCAGGUUUUUCUAUCUUAGUUAAUUCUUGGUAGUAUAUCUCCAGAAAUUAAACAUUCUGUGUUAUCCAAAUUGUUCAUAAUCACUUAUACUUAUGAUCCUUUGGUACAGUAAGUGUGUCCCUGUUUCCAUCUCUAUUUUGUCUCCUGUGUGCACAACCACUGAACAAGAGAACACACACAUAGCCCCUGCACAACAGCCUCUGGUCCCAGCCUGCAUCACUGCUGUUGGAUGCAGCAGCCGUGCACAGCACACAGGCCUGCAGCAGACUCAGCAGCUGCAGCUGGGGAUCUCCAGAAUCUUGCCCUGCCAUCUUCUCUGUCCUCUCCCAGGUCUAGUAGGUCAUAAAAGAUAAUUAAGAGUCGAAGUCUUGCUUCCUUAUUUCAUAACUACUAAUGAAAAAGGAAGUCAGGCCAGAGUUGCCGUCUGGCUUUGUCUUCCAACAUCCUCCCAAACAUUCUGUUUAUUUCACCAGGUCAUUAUCUAACUCUUUUAUUUCACAAAUGUUCUUAUUACUCAUGAACAGCAAGAAGACUACACUUGAUAUCAAAUGAGCAUCCCAUUGCAGUUGCUCACUCAUGAACUGCCCCACUCAAGAGCCUUCAUAAACUCCUCCUCGCUGAAAGACAGCAUCUUGGCAGCUUCAAUAUGCAUCUGUUUUUAAAAAAUAUAUAUUGUUCAAUUUAGAGAUGGACACACAACAAAAGAAAAUUUGUUUGUGUUAAUAUGCUAUCAAAAAAAUAAGCUAUUGUUGGAUUAUACAUACUAACCAUGCAAGUGUAACACUUUAAAUUGAUAUUACAUGAAGACCAAGCUACUGUUAAAAGAAUAAUUUGAUAUCAUUAUACCUGAUCUUUGUAACGAGAGAGGGCUGUGAAUUGUCUUUUUUCAUGUUUCAAGAAAGAUACAAUGUGUUUUAGAAUUACUGCUCAAAGUUUGAAGAGGAAAUUAAUCCACUAAAAUUAGUCAUUCUCAUGAAUGGUACUUUCUGUAGUUGGGAGGGAAUAUAUAUACAAACAUAUCUGUGUAUGUGUGCGCGUGCGUGCGUGCGUGCGUGUGUUUUAAACCAGUGAACCUCACUAUGUAUUACACAGAUGUGACUUCACACGUAUACAGUGCAUCUUUAGAUACAAUUUUAUGUGUAAGAUUAUAAGCAAAGUAAAAACAAACUUUUUGGCAGAACGGUCUGUCUGUAGUGUAUCUGAGAUACAGCGUCUAUUGUUAGACUCACCUUCUGCCUUUUCAAAAUGUCAAUCAAUUUCAACUGCUUCUUGAACCCUAUCAUUAAUUCUCCUUUUUGUCUUUCUAGUUUUUUGUUUUCUGAUUUCAACACUUCAAUUUUUUGAUGGUCUUCAUUUGUAAUAUCCUAUGAAAGCAAAUAAAAAAAAUUUUAGUUGAAAU